UACAGAGGGUGCGAGCGUUUAAUCGGAUUUACUGGGCGUAAAGCGUGUGUAGGUGGCUUCCUAAGUCGGUUGUGAAAUCCCUGGGCUCAACCUGGGAAUUGCAGUCGAUACUGGGAAGCUCGAGUUCGGGAGAGGAUGGUGGAAUUCCCAGUGUAGAGGUGAAAUUCGUAGAUAUUGGGAAGAACACCGAUGGCGAAGGCAGCCAUCUGGACCGACACUGACGCUGAGGCGCGAAAGCCGGGGAGCGAAACGGG
rnacentral:rRNA from 1 species